AUACGGAAGGUCCGGGCGUUAUCCGGAUUUAUUGGGUUUAAAGGGAGCGCAGGCGGAGAUGCAAGCGUGACGUCAAAUUUCGGGGCUCAACCCCGUCUCGCGUCGCGAACUGCGUCCCUUGGUUGCGGGAAGGGGAGGCGGAACUCGUGGUGUAGCGGUGAAAUGCAUAGAUAUCACGAAGAACUCCGAUCGCGAAGGCAGCCUUCCGGCCCGUCAACGACGCUCAUGCUCGAAGGCGCGGGUAUCAAACAGGAUUAGAUACCCUGGUAGUCCGUACAGUAAACGAUGGACACCCGCGGUUUGGCCUGUAUGGCUGAGCCGCCAAGCGAAAGCGUUAAGUGUCCCACCUGGGGAGUACGCCGGCAACGGUGAAACUCAAAUGAAUUGGCGGGG
rnacentral:rRNA from 1 species